rnacentral:rRNA from 1 species
GAUGAACGCUGGCGGCGUGCCUAACACAUGCAAGUCGAGCGAUUUACUUCGGUAAAGAGCGGCGGACGGGUGAGUAACGCGUGGGUAACCUGCCCUGUACACACGGAUAACAUACCGAAAGGUAUGCUAAUACGAGAUAAUAUACUUUUAUCGCAUGGUAGAAGUAUCAAAGCUCCGGCGGUACAGGAUGGACCCGCGUCUGAUUAGCUAGUUGGUAAGGUAACGGCUUACCAAGGCGACGAUCAGUAGCCGACCUGAGAGGGUGAUCGGCCACAUUGGAACUGAGACACGGUCCAAACUCCUACGGGAGGCAGCAGUGGGGAAUAUUGCACAAUGGGCGAAAGCCUGAUGCAGCAACGCCGCGUGAGCGAUGAAGGCCUUCGGGUCGUAAAGCUCUGUCCUCAAGGAAGAUAAUGACGGUACUUGAGGAGGAAGCCCCGGCUAACUACGUGCCAGCCGCCGCCGUAA